AACGAACGCUGGCGGCAGGCUUAACACAUGCAAGUCGAGCGCCCCGCAAGGGGAGCGGCAGACGGGUGAGUAACGCGUGGGAAUCUACCGAGCCCUAAGGAAUAGCUCCGGGAAACUGGAAUUAAUACCUUAUACGCCCUUCGGGGAAAGAUUUAUCGGGGUUUGAUGAGCCCGCGUUGGAUUAGCUAGUUGGUGGGGUAAAGGCCUACCAAGGCGACGAUCCAUAGCUGGUCUGAGAGGAGGAUCAGCCACAUUGGGACUGAGACACGGCCCAAACUCCUACGGGAGGCAGCAGUGGGGAAUAUUGGACAAUGGGCGCAAGCCUGAUCCAGCCAUGCCGCGUGAGUGAUGAAGGCCCUAGGGUUGUAAAGCUCUUUCACCGGUGAAGAUAAUGACGGUAACCGGAGAAGAAGCCCCGGCUAACUUCGUGCCAGCAGCCGCCGUAAAAC
rnacentral:rRNA from 1 species